rnacentral:rRNA from 1 species
GACGAACGCUGGCGGCGUGCUUAACACAUGCAAGUCGAACGGAAAGGCCCUGCUUUUGUGGGGUGCUCGAGUGGCGAACGGGUGAGUAACACGUGAGUAACCUGCCCUUGACUUUGGGAUAACUUCAGGAAACUGGGGCUAAUACCGGAUAGGAGCUCCUGCUGCAUGGUGGGGGUUGGAAAGUUUCGGCGGUUGGGGAUGGACUCGCGGCUUAUCAGCUUGUUGGUGGGGUAGUGGCUUACCAAGGCUUUGACGGGUAGCCGGCCUGAGAGGGUGACCGGCCACAUGGGGACUGAGGUGCGGCCCAGACUCCUACGGGAGGCAGCAGUGGGGAAUAUUGCACAAUGGGCGGAAGCCUGAUGCAGCAACGCCGCGUGCGGGAUGACGGCCUUCGGGUUGUGAACCGCUUUCGCCUGUGACGAAGCGUGAGUGACGGUAAUGGGUAAAGAAGCACCGGCUAACUACGUG